rnacentral:lncRNA from 1 species
GCAGGGGUGGGGGUGAAAGCGGCGAGGCGGUGAAAUCCGGGGAGGAGCUGUGGCAGCUGCCUCUGACCCCACCCGCAGCUCCCCGCACCCAGCCCUGCCACGGAGCCAGGAGGUUUUGGGGGAAGGGGGCUUUGGGAGAAAGGGGAACCAGGAGGGCCCUCUGCUAAAGAAACCGGGAAUUGAAAGUCUGGUUAGUGUAUUUGAGUCUAAUAUUUAAUUGCCUGAAGCUAAUAGUAUUUCAAUUUUAUAAAUCAAGAAAAGGUGAAAUGAGCAGAUUAUUUGGAGAUAUGGAGGUAAAUAAAUACGAGAAUAAAGCAAGCGGCAGGUGAAGUGCCCCUCUCCCUCUCCUGUUGGCGGGAGCUGGGCUUCAGCAACAGAGGGUCUGAAACAGGUCCUUAGAACCAAGUUCAUUUCCCUCCACGCAGAGUCGGGCUGUGGCAUCAGGAUGAGUAAGCUUCGGCUCUAAAGCCACAGUCGGAGGCCCGGCGUGGCACAGGUGCUGUGGCUGUCACCGGCAAGCGCCCAGUUGCCUUCCCCAGCCGCAGGAAGGGGCACGACUGGAGGACAGCAGUGCGGACCAUGGCCUUGGCCGCACCCAGGCCCGCGGAGACGCAGCCACUGUGCUAGGGGAAGCAGGAAUAGACUUCUGGCCAGCGCUGGAGGUUUUGCCUCACUGCAAAGUUUAGGUAAAAAGGCAAACCUAAACCUAAAGGUGGCUCACGCCUGUAAUCUCAGCACUUUAAGAGGCGGAGGCGGGUGGAUCAUGAGGUCAAGAGAUUGAGACCAUCCUGGCCAACAUGGUGAAACCCUGUCUCUACUAAAAUCACAAAAAUUAGCUGGGCUUGGUGGUGCAUGCCUGUAGUCCCACUACUCGGGAGGCUGAGGCAGGAGAAUUGCUUGAACCUGUGUAGCAGGAUGAGUAACAGACAAAACCCCUCAGACACCGAGUUAAAGAAGGAAGGGCUUUAUUCGGCCUGGAGCAUCAGCAAGACUCACAUCUCCAACAACCCAGCUCCCUGAGGGAGCAAUUCCUGUCCCUCUUAGGGGCUCACAACUCUAAGAGGGUCCGCGUGAGAGGGUCGUGAUCGAUUAAGCAAGCAGCAGAUAUGUGACUGGGGGCUGCAGCAGGUAUGUGACUGGGGGCUGCAUGCACUGGUAAUUAGAGUGGAACGGAACAGGACAGGGAUUUUCACAGUGCUUUUCCAUUUCCAUACAAUGUCGGUAAUCUAUAGAUAACAUAACUGAUUAGGUCAGGGGUCGAUUUUGAACUACCAGGCCCAGGGUGUGGCGCCGGGCUGUCUGCCUGUGGAUUUCAUUUCUGCCUUUUAGUUUUUACUUCUUCUUUCUUUGGAGGCAGAAAUUGGGCAUAAGACAAUAUGAGGGGUGGUCUCCUCCCUUACCAGGCUCCGGGAGGCAGAGGUUGCAGUAAGCCAAGAUCAUGCCACUGCACUCCAGCCUGGCCACAGAGCAAGACUCCGUCUAAAAAAAAAAAAAAAAAAAAA